GGCCCCGUCUUCUAGCGGCUUAGGAUGCUGGCCCUUCAAGCCGGCGACAUGGGUCCAAAUCCCAUCGGGGCUG
rnacentral:tRNA from 1 species